GACGAACGCUGGCGGCGUGCUUAACACAUGCAAGUCGAACGGAAAGGCCCUGCUUUUGUGGGGUGCUCGAGUGGCGAACGGGUGAGUAACACGUGAGUAACCUGCCCUUGACUUUGGGAUAACUUCAGGAAACUGGGGCUAAUACCGGAUAGGAGCUCCUGCUGCAUGGUGGGGGUUGGAAAGUUUCGGCGGUUGGGGAUGGACUCGCGGCUUAUCAGCUUGUUGGUGGGGUAGUGGCUUACCAAGGCUUUGACGGGUAGCCGGCCUGAGAGGGUGACCGGCCACAUGGGGACUGAGAUACGGCCCAGACUCCUACGGGAGGCAGCAGUGGGGAAUAUUGCACAAUGGGCGGAAGCCGGAUGCAGCAACGCCGCGGGCGGGAUGACGGCCUUCGGGUGGUAAACCGCUUUCGCCGGUGACGAAGCGUGAGUGACGGUAAUGGGUAAAGAAGCACCGGCUAACUACGUG
rnacentral:rRNA from 1 species